rnacentral:rRNA from 1 species
UACGGGAGGCAGCAGUGGGGAAUCUUGCGCAAUGGGCGAAAGCCUGACGCAGCCAUGCCGCGUGAAUGAUGAAGGUCUUAGGAUUGUAAAAUUCUUUCACCGGGGACGAUAAUGACGGUACCCGGAGAAGAAGCCCCGGCUAACUUCGUGCCAGCAGCCGCGGUAAUACGAAGGGGCUAGCGUUGCUCGGAAUUACUGGGCGUAAAGGGAGCGUAGGCGGACAUUUAAGUCAGGGGUGAAAUCCCGGGGCUCAACCUCGGAAUUGCCUUUUGAUACUGGGUGUCUUGAGUAUGAGAGAGGUGUGUGGAACUCCGAGUGUAGAGGUGAAAUUCGUAGAUAUUCGGAAGAACACCAGUGGCGAAGGCGGCACACUGGCUCAUUACUGACGCUGAGGCUCGAAAGCGUGGGGAGCAAACAGGGAUUAGAUACC